CUUGACUCUUAAAGUCAUUGUCUCUCAUUAGUGCAGAUGUUGCUCUUCACAUUCAUUAUAUUUUCUCUUCUAAAAGAAACUGCUGGUGAAGAUGUCAUAAAACCAGUCGUCACAGAGAAGCAUGUUUUGGAAGGAAAAGAUGUUACACUGAUCUGCAAAUACACUGAAACUGUCAAGAAUUUACAAUGGUAUCGUCAGUAUCCCGGAUCCAAACCUGAGAACCUCAUCACGUUCUAUGAGACCACUCCACAUAAAGAGACCACUCUCCGUCUGAACGCUGCGGCUGAUAAAACAGCCAAAAGUAUGAAUUUGACGAUCUCUUCUACAGAAGUGACAGACUCUGCCAUGUACUACUGUGCCCUGGUGCCCACAGUGACAGGAAACACAAGAACACUGUACAAAAAACGUUAGAAAUGAACUUCAAGAAGAAAAAGAAGAUCCUCAUUUUAAAAACUAUUUCUGUAACCAUUAGAAAGGAUUUGUGAACAAUACACAGUUAUAAAACUCUGGAGCAAAAGUAAUUAAACUAUAUUAUUUGAUAAAUAAAAAAGUUAAUUCACACAA